ensembl:lncRNA
UUUUAUUGUAGUCUACUUGGUAAAUAUUUUCUUCUUCUUGAACUGCACUGUUGGUAAGUCAGCAUUUCAUGAUAAAGUCUACACUUAUUGUAUUCGGCACAUGUGACAAAUAAAGUUUGAUUUGAAUUGAUUUGAAAAAGUCAAGGGGUCUGAAUACAUUCCAAAGGCACUGUAAUAACAUGAUACACUGUUAAACUAUCAACAGCCUCUCUGAUUAUUGACUUGUCCUAAAGAGCAGUUUACAUCCUGUCUGAUGACUGUCACAUCCAAUGAUCAAUCUAUCCAUCUAACCAUCCAUCCGCCCAUCCAUAUACCCAUCCAUCCUUCUGUCUAUCCUUCCUUCCAUCCAUCCAUCCAUACACCCAUCCAUGCUGUUACGUUCCCCAGUUUCUGUGUUGUGGGUUUGUAUGUCUGUGUGUAUUUCAGGAAAUGGAAUCCUGGAGCAGCUGAUUGGUCGGUCCCAUCGCUGAUUGGAGCUCUGACUCCACCCUCUCGUCAGGGGAAACAGCUGGAUCUUCAAUUACCAACUCCUUCUGCAGCUUGAAAAGCCAGUGUUCCUUUGUAUCCUUCUUUGUAAGACCUGGCUGGACCACCCCCUGUGUUUUGGUUAGUGCGCCAGGUGGUGCUAAGAUUAGGUGGGUAGGUAGGAGAGGGGACUCUUUAACUUUCAUUGCUUUGGUUCCGUCCAGUCCCUUCUCCCCUCAUUACCGUGUUAAGGAAAUAAAUUCCCUGUAAACGGUCAUUUUCUCUGCUUCUGUCGUCCUUCCCCCAACUACGAUCACAUACUUUUUCGCUCCACGGGGAGUUGAGAUGUAGCAGCGUGUUGUGUUCCCUCCUCCAAGAGGCCUACGUAACACAUACACCCAUCCAUAGUAGGUUGGGGUCCACACAAGUCACAAUGAAUAUGCUAUUAUUGCCUGACACUGGUUGCUUGCAGAAACCAUGUACCCAAAACCUCCAUUAAAUAAAACUGGUGGACAAAUAUAACAUGAUACACUGCCUGAUCUGAUCUCUUCCAACAACAAUUAAAAACUGA